rnacentral:ncRNA from 1 species
CAACCUCAACUCAUAUGGGACUGCCCCCUGAAUUUAAGCAUAUUAAUUAGGGGAGGAAAAGAAACUAACAAGGAUUUUCUUAGUAGCGGCGAGCGAAAAGAAAUCAGUUCAGCACUAAGUCACUUUGUCUAUAUGGCAAAUGUGAGAUGCAGUGUACGGAACAUCAACAUUCUAGUAUGAGAAGUUAACGAUUUAAGUCCUUCUUAAAUGAGGCCAUUUACCCAUAGAGGGUGCCAGGCCCGUAUAACGUUAAUGAUUACUAGAUGGUGUUUCCAAAGAGUCGUGUUGCUUGAUAGUGCAGCACUAAGUGGGUGGUAAACUCCAUCUAAAACUAAAUAUAACCAUGAGACCGAUAGUAAACAAGUACCGUGAGGGAAAGUUGAAAAGAACUCUGAAUAGAGAGUUAAAUAGUACGUGAAACUGCUUAGAGGUUAAGCCCGAUGAACCUGAAUAUCCGUUAUGGAAAAUUCAUCAUUAGAAUUGUAAUAUUUUAAACAAUAUUAUAAUAAUAGUGUGCAUUUUUUCCAUAUAAGGACAUUGUAAUCUAUUAGCAUAAAUAUUUAUCAUAAAAUUAUGUCUGAUUGCUUAUUUGAAUUAUAUGCUUGGCAUUUUAACAUAAAAUAAAAGAUAUAAAUUUGAUAAAGUGCUGAUAGAUUUAUAUGAUUACAGUGCGUUAAUUUUUCGGAAUUAUAUAAUGGCAUAAUUAUCAUUGAUAUUUGUGUUUAUUAUAUGCAUUUGUAUGAUUAACAAUGCGAAAGAUUCAGGAUACCUUCGGGACCCGUCUUGAAACACGGAACCAGGAGUCUAACAUAUGUGCAAGUUAUUGGGAUAUAAACCUAAUAGCGUAAUUAACUUGACUAUUAAUGGGAUUAGUUUUUUAACUAUUUAUAGUUAAUUAACGCAAUCCCGGGGCGCUCUAUAUAGUUAUGUAUAAUAAUAUUUAUAUUAUUUAUGCCUCUAACUGGAACGUACCUUGAGCAUAUAUGCUGUGACCCGAAAGAUGGUGAACUAUACUUGAUCAGGUUGAAGUCAGGGGAAACCCUGAUGGAAGACCGAAACAGUUCUGACGUGCAAAUCGAUUGUCAGAAUUGAGUAUAGGGGCGAAAGACCAAUCGAACCAUCUAGUAGCUGGUUCCUUCCGAAGUUUCCCUCGGGAUAGCUGGUGCAUUUAACUGUUGUAUAAAAUAAUCUUAUCUGGUAAAGCGAAUGAUUAGAGGCCUUAGGGUCGAAACGAUCUUAACCCUAUUCUCAAACUUUAAAUGGGUAAGAACCUUAACUUUCUUGAUAUGAAGUUUAAGGUUUAUGAUAUAAUGUGCCCAGUGGGCCACUUUUGGUAAGCAGAACUGGCGCUGUGGGGAUGAACCAAACGUAAUGUUACGGUGCCCAAAUUUAUCAACUCAUACAGAAACCAUGGAAAGGCGUUGGGUUGCUUAAAACA